GAAGGUAUAUCUCAGUGGUAGAGUGCUUGCUUAGCAUACAUGAGGCCCUGGGUUCGAUGCCCAGUACCUCCA
rnacentral:tRNA from 1 species